rnacentral:rRNA from 1 species
GAUGAACGCUGGCGGCGUGCCUAAUACAUGCAAGUCGAGCGAAGCGGGGACGGGUGAGAAACACGUGGAUAACCUCCUAUAGGACUGGGAUAACUUGGGGAAACCGGAGCUAAACCGGAUAAUUAUAAGUGGAUCCGCGCCGCAUUAGCUAGUGGGUUAGGUACCGGCUUACCAAGGCAACGAUGCAUAGCCGGCCUGAGAGGUUGAUCGGCCGCUCUUUAACUGAUACACAGUCCAGACUCCUACGGGUGGCAGCAGUAGGGAAUCUUCCGCAAUGGGCGAAAGCCUGUCGGUGCAACGCCGCGUAGGUGAUGAAGGUCUUCGGAUCGUAAAACUCUGUUAUUAGGGAAGCGGUACCUGAUCAGAAAGCCACGGCUAAAUACGUGCCAGCAGCCGCGGUAAAAC